UACGUAGGUGGCAAGCGUUGUCCGGAAUUAUUGGGCGUAAAGCGCGCGCAGGCGGUCCUUUAAGUCUGAUGUGAAAGCCCACGGCUCAACCGUGGAGGGUCAUUGGAAACUGGGGGACUUGAGUACAGAAGAGGAAAGCGGAAUUCCACGUGUAGCGGUGAAAUGCGUAGAGAUGUGGAGGAACACCAGUGGCGAAGGCGGCUCACUGGUCCGGAACUGACGCUGAGGUGCGAAAGCGUGGGGAGCAAACAGG
rnacentral:rRNA from 1 species